rnacentral:lncRNA from 10 species
ACCCUACCUUUUUGCAUUAAAUAAGUGGGAAAAUAUUGAAAUCAUUUUAAUCUUUCAGAAAGGACUGUGAUGAGAUAUGCUUAGAAGCACAAAAUCUUCCCUCUCUUUCCAAAGGCCAUGCUCUGCUCAACACAAUUUCUAUUGCUGUUUAUUUUUUUGUAUUAUUUCUCAGUGUUUCUUUUAGUGCUUUCUGAGUUACUUGAUUUUAUAGACCCUUUACAACUCAGGAAAGGCCAUUUUCUACUCUUUAGACCCUUUCAGAAAUAAUAAGAUGACAUUGCACAACCAUUUUUUCUUUGUUGUGCUUCUAUUCUUAUGGCAACUUCUUGUUACAGCCAAAGCUUAAUUGCUCCACUGAAACACUGGCAACAAAAAUCGUCUUCUCUUCUCCCUUUGUGAAAAAGGCUUUCACUUAAUGUGGAGAAAGGUAUUAUAUACCAGGGAAAUGGAACUUUGUAUAAAUGAUUUUCCCCCAAGAGGAACUAAAGCAUUUGGAAGGUAUCUGAAUUCAGAUGAGGACCUAAUUUAUUACUGAGGACCUAAUCUACGGGAGGUGCAAAGAAGAAUGAAAUAUUGUGUCUGCCUGUGAUGCACAUUGCUUAAUAUGAAUACUAAGAAAAAUAGUCAUCUGUUUCUGUUCCUGUCCCCCUCACUGCAAGGGCACUUCAGGACUGCAGCAAAGGGCAUUUGAUGGAGUCUAUAACAGAAAAGAAAGUCCUCCUCUGGAAUUUCUGACUAUAUUUCAUUGGCCACAACUGGAUUCCAUGGCCACCCCUAACUACUGGGGAGGCUGAGAAUUCAAAUGCUGAAAAUUGCAAUCUCCAUAGUGAAAGACACGAAGAAAGAAAUUGAUUGAAAUGGGUUAAUUAAUUCAAUUAGCAACACUUUUUCUCAGCAAAGGAGCUGAGAAAGAAAAUGUUUUGGUUCAGUCCUGGGUAGGGGUGCUUGACAGUGCUUAAUAUCACCAGCACUGAAGGUAAUAAAUAUUAUCUCUCUUUUCUAUCAUGAAUAUGAAUGAUACUCUGAAGGCUGAAUGCAACCUCAGAAUUUAAGUGAGAAAUGAGGCAUGCAACACUUUUGAAAAUAUAUUAGCCCAAAGUCUGUAUUACUGCAUAUUUUAUUCCCCUUUUAAUAUGCUACAAAAGGUUUGAGCCAUCAGCUGAAUGCUGCCAGAGAAGAACAAACAAGAACAAGAAUGCAAAAAUAAAUGCUGGGAGUCAAGUUUUCCCAAGAUGUUCUUUAUAGUUGGUGUAUGAUCACAUUUCUAAGCAGACUGCUUUGCUUCAAGCUCUACCCAUCAGCACUUCUUCCACAAGCCUGGUUCUCCAGGAAGUUUAUCCCGGGCUAACUAUGCAGAAAUAUACGUGGGGCAAAGUGGGUACUGGAGAAAGCAUUCCAUGAACUCCUUCUUUUGCCCUGCUACCUGAUUCUGUGUAACUUCUUCCAUGCCUGAGAUCUUCUCUUCCAUUUUGAGAACAUGAAGGAAACAUGUUUGCUUAAGUACGUUCUGGUUGGGAAUUAAAUAUUUAAUUCUGAUCAUUUUUAGUGUCUGAAAUAUAUUUCGUAAGCAUGGUCAUAUGAUAAUUAUAACUAUAAAAUGUUUUACAUUCUACAAACUUUAUCCCAUGUUACUAAUAUUCAGGAAAUGAUCAUAGGAAAAUAUUUGCACUAGGAUACUAUUCAUUAUUUUAACUCUUUCUAUUUAUACAUAGUUUUAAGAAAUUCUACAAUGAAUUUAUAUCAUCUUCAUAAUAGGGAACAAAAAUAAACUUCACUUUUUCCAUGAGGCUGUUGUCUUCCAAGACCAUACCUAAGCCAAGUUUGGGUUUAUAAAGUCAAAAUCAUGAGAUAUCCCAUCUGUGAACAAAUACUCAUGGCUAUAAUUUGGACGUUUGUUGUUUCCAAACUUCAUGUUGAAAUUUGACCCUCAAUAUUGGAUGUGGGGUGAUAUGGUUUCAUUGUGUCCUCACAAAAAAUCUCAUCUUGAAUUGUAAUCCCCAUAAUUCCCACGUGUCAAGGGCGGGAUCAGAUGGAGGUAACUGGAUCAUGGAGGCAGUUUCCCCCAUGCUGCUGUCAUAAUAAUGAGUGACUCUCAUGAGAUCUGAUGGUUUUAUAAGCAUCUGGCAUUGCCCUUGCUUGCACUCACUUCAUCCUGCCACCCUGUGAAGAAGGUGCCUGCUUCUCCUUAGCCUUCUGCCAUGGUUGUAAGUUUCCUGAGGCCUCCCCAGCAAGGCAAAACUGUGAGUCAAUUAAACCUCUUUCCUUUAUAAAUUACUUAGCCUCGGGUAUUUCUUCAUAACAUUGUGAGAGAGGACUAAUACAUGGGGCCUAAUGGCAGGUGUUUGGGUUAUGGGGCUGAAUCCUUCUACAAUAGGUUAAUGUUCUCCCUCAGUGGUGAGUUCUCACUCUAUUAGUUCCUGCGAGAGCCAGUUGUUUCAAAGAGCUAGGGGUGCACCUCUCCCUGCCUUGCUUCCUCUUUUGCCUUGGAAUCUCUGGGUCCCCUUCACCUUCAGCCAUGAGUGGAAGCAGCCUGAGACCUUCACCAAAUGCAGAUGCCCAAUCUUGAACUUUCCAGCCAUCAUAAUUGUGACCCAAAUAAACCUUUUUCUUUAUAAACUACCCGGUCUCAAGUAUUUCUUUAUUUUGUUUU